UACGGAGGAUGCGAGCGUUAUCCGGAUUUAUUGGGUUUAAAGGGUGCGUAGGCGGAUCGUUAAGUCAGUGGUCAAAUUGAGGGGCUCAACCCCUUCCCGCCAUUGAAACUGGCGAUCUUGAGUGGAAGAGAAGUAUGCGGAAUGCGCGGUGUGGCGGUGAAAUGCAUAGAUAUCACGCAGAACCCCGAUUGCGAAGGCAGCAUGCCGGCUUCCUACUGACGCUGAAGCACGAAAGCGUGGGGAUCGAACAGG
rnacentral:rRNA from 1 species